AACCGACUAGUGUUGCAAAACUAGCGGAUGAGCUGUGGAUAGGGGUGAAAGGCUAAACAAACUUGGAAAUAGCUGGUUCUCUCCGAAAACUAUUUAGGUAGUGCCUCAAGUAUCACCAUCGGGGGUAGAGCACUGUUAUGGCUAGGGGGUCAUUGCGACUUACCAAACCAUUGCAAACUCCGAAUACCGAUGAGUGCGAGCUUGGGAGACAGACGUCGGGUGCUAACGUCCGGCGUCAAGAGGGAAACAACCCAGACCGCCAGCUAAGGUCCCAAAGAUUGGCUAAGUGGAAAACGAAGUGGGAAGGCUAAAACAGUCAGGAUGUUGGCUUAGAAGC
rnacentral:rRNA from 1 species